GAUGAACGCUGGCGGCGUGCCUAAUACAUGCAAGUCGAGCGAACAGACGAGGAGCUUGCUCCUCUGACGUUAGCGGCGGACGGGUGAGUAACACGUGGAUAACCUACCUAUAAGACUGGGAUAACUUCGGGAAACCGGAGCUAAUACCGGAUAAUAUAUUGAACCGCAUGGUUCAAUAGUGAAAGACGGCUUUGCUGUCACUUAUAGAUGGAUCCGCGCCGCAUUAGCUAGUUGGUAAGGUAACGGCUUACCAAGGCAACGAUGCGUAGCCGACCUGAGAGGGUGAUCGGCCACACUGGAACUGAGACACGGUCCAGACUCCUACGGGAGGCAGCAGUAGGGAAUCUUCCGCAAUGGGCGAAAGCCUGACGGAGCAACGCCGCGUGAGUGAUGAAGGUCUUCGGAUCGUAAAACUCUGUUAUUAGGGAAGAACAGAUGUGUAAGUAACUAUGCACGUCUUGACGGUACCUAAUCAGAAAGCCACGGCUAACUACGUG
rnacentral:rRNA from 1 species